rnacentral:tRNA from 1 species
GGUUUGUGUCUCAGUGGUAGAAUUCUUGCCUAGCAAGUGUGAGGCCCUGGGUUUGAUCCUCAGCACCA